rfam:Marine metagenome ctg_1101668525261, whole genome shotgun sequence.
CUUAUUACACGCAAAGGUAGUAAGCAAAUUAAAUAAAGGAAACUUUAUUUAGUUUGUAUCGGGAGGAAAUGCACGAUACA